UACAGGGGGUGCAAACGUUGCUCGGAAUUAUUGGGCGUAAAGCGCGCGUAGGCGGCUACUUAAGUCGGAUGUGAAAGCCCUUGGCUCAACUGAGGAAGUGCACCCGAAACUGAGUGGCUUGAGUACCAAAGAGGGUCGCGGAAUUCCCGGUGUAGAGGUGAAAUGCGUAGAUAUCUGGAGGAAUACCGGUGGCGAAGGCGGCAUCCUGGACCGACAUUGACGCUGAGGAGCGAAAGCUAGGGGAGCAAACGGG
rnacentral:rRNA from 1 species